CCUACGGGAGGCAGCAGUGGGGAAUAUUGGACAAUGGGCGCAAGCCUGAUCCAGCAAUGCCGCGUGGGUGAAGACGGUCUGCGGAUUGUAAAGCCCUUUAGGCGGGGAGGAACGUCGUCGUGCGAACAGUGCGGCGAUCUGACGUUACCCGCAGAAUAAGCACCGGCUAACUCUGUGCCAGCAGCCGCGGUAAU
rnacentral:rRNA from 1 species